GACGAACGCUGGCGGCGUGCCUAAUACAUGCAAGUCGAACGAGAGCGACCGGUGCUUGCGCUGGUCAAUCUAGUGGCGAACGGGUGAGUAACACGUGGGUAACCUGCCCAUCAGAGGGGGAUAACAUCCGGAAACGGAUGCUAAAACCGCAUAGGUCUUCGAACCGCAUGGUUUGAUGAGGAAAAGAGGCGCAAGCUUCUGCUGAUGGAUGGUCCCGCGGUGCAUUAGCUAGUGGGUGAGGUAACGGCUCACCAAGGCCGUGAUGCAUAGCCGACCUGAGGGGGUGAUCGGCCACAUUGGGACUGAGACACGGACCAAACUACUACGGGAGGCAGCAGUAGGGAAUCUUCCGCAAUGGACGCAAGUCUGACGGAGCAACGCCGCGUGAGUGAAGAAGGUUUUCGGAUCGUAAAACUCUGUUGUUAGAGAAGAACAAGUGCUAGAGUAACUGUUAGCGCCUUGACGGUAACUAACCAGAAAGCCACGGCUAACUACGUG
rnacentral:rRNA from 1 species